rnacentral:lncRNA from 9 species
UAUAACUCUUCCGCACUUUAUAGAACUCAAUUUGGAAUAAGUCAGAAGACAAAUCUAAAUAAUAGGAACUAUGAUAUUCCCAAUUCACUAUUAAGAGAGGUAAAUCAUAAUAAUUACUUAUAAUUCCCCUUUCCAAUAGCACAGGUAAGUUUUAUAUGCAUGUGUAUGAUAUGAUACAUGCUAUGUGUGUGAGUGUGUGUGUGUGUCUGACAUGGUAUCUCAUGAGACUAAUAUGAGAGGAUUUUUAAAAAUCAACAAAUUUGUAUUGUUAUCUAAAAAUUCAUACUUAAUAAAAAGAAAACUUUCCGAUUUAGGCAGAAAUUCACAUACAUGCACACACAUGUGAAACAGAGGUUCUUAUGAAAAAAGAAAAUCAGUUGUCACUUGUAUACCAUAAUUUGGAAGAUAGUGAUAUGACUUUCAUCUCACAGUCUUCCUCAGAUUUCUGUCUGAGAUCUGAGCAUUUAGACUCAUUUGUCCUAAGAUUUUACAGUUCAUGUUACAUUGAACAUGAAAUGAGCGCUUACGAGUGCCCGGAGCUAUGGUGACCAGGAAAGACUUACAGAGGAAGAGUGAUGUCAGCCAUAUAUUAGCUCAAAGAGGAAUUCUUUUGCCCUGCAAAGCUGAGCCACAAGAUAUUCUCCCUGCAAGGUGGUGUAACACACACCCUACCAAAGGCCACCCCAUGGACAAAAUGCAGAGGCAGUGACCAGGGAUCACCAAGGGCUUAAAGUGAAAAGAGAGCACUCUUUAUGUAUACAUAAAUGGAGAUGAAAUUCAACUCUUUGAAACAUGCAGCAAGCAUUUUUCAGAGUAAACUGGAGGGAACAAAUGUUCUCUUGAUUUGCUCAUAUAAAACUCUGGCAUUUAAAUUGAACUUUGAAUUUUUGCACUAAAUGGCAAUAUAAUGUCACUUCCUCCUGAAAAUCCAAUAAAUCUGUAGUAAAGGGAUUUUAAAUGUAUAAACUGAUAAGCUUGGCAGAACAGCAAAGUAUUCAACAGAAGACAAAGGAGAGAACAGGUGUUAGAUACAGAAUAUCAAGAAAACUAAACCUCAGUGCAGCAAGUGAAUUUGAGAAAUAAUCAAGUUCACGCCACAGAAUGCUCAGACAUUUCAUGGAUCUGUAGCACCAGAUACCUCCAUAAGUAGGGGGGGCAAAGAAGCAGAAAUGUCAGGCGGAUUGCUUGAAUUGAGUAUCAUUUAUAUUGCCAUUUUAUACAAAAGGCAUAAGGACCUCCCCAACCAAUUCCUUUACCCUUACUAAUUUUAUCUAGAAAUAACCUCAUUAAAGAGGAAGAGUCUUUGUGGUAGUAUUUUCUAGACAUGUUGAAGAUCUGGCUCUAUACUGCAAAUAGGGAAAUCAGUGAACAUAUGCAUCCUGAAUGCUAUGAGGACACCAUAUCCCUUCUGUAAUUUGAUACUCAAAAAACUGAUGGCCAAAUUGUUAGUCUCCACACAGAAUAUUGGAAAAAUUUUCUCUGAGAAAUAUGAGAAGACUAAGAGAAAAGACCUAAAAAUACAGACAAGGAAAAUUUCCAAUAAGUUUCUCACCUAGAUUUACUAUAGAAAAAGUUUUCUCAAUAGUUGCCAUUAUCAAAAAAAAAAAAAAGAUAAGUUUUGGUAAGGAUGUAGAGAAAUUGGAACUAUUGUAUACUAUUAGUAUAAAUGGUGCAGCCAUUAUGAAAAAUAGUAUGGAGGUGCCCCCCCCAAAUUAAAAAUUGAAUCACCACAUGACCUAGCCAUGCUACUUGUGGGUAUUUUAUUAUCCAAAGACUAGUAUUUCAUUGUAUGGAGAUGCACCACAUUUUGUUUUACAUUCAUAUCAUAGAAAAAUAUUAACAAAACACAUAGAUAUUAAGGAAUGCUGUCUUAGAAACCAUAAUAAAAAGAAAAAAAUUAAACUGGAAUAAUGAUUUAUCUGUGAAGAAAAAGAGCUACUGAAGAAACAGAAACCUAUAUAACAAGGAGAAAACAUUGGGCAGGAUGCUCAACCUUGGUAUUAUUCAGAGAAAUGCAAAUUAAAGUUAUCAAUUUAGAAAUAUGAAAGUGCAGUUUCAUUUAAUGUUGACAAAUGAGUGGGAUAGAAGUUGUUUUCUCAUAUCUUACUAGAGGGAUUCAGAAUUUAUACAACUUUUUGGAGAAUACAUAUUAUCAUUUAGCCUAGCAACUCAGAAAUAUAAAUAUUUAUUUUAUUUUAUUUUAUUUUUGUCCUUUUGCCAUUUCUUGGGCUGCUCCCAUGGCAUAUGGAGGUUCCCAGGCCAGGAGUCUAAUCGGAGCUGUAGCUGCUGGCCUACACCAGAGCCACAGCAAUGUGGGAUCCGUACCGCGUCUGCGACCUACACCACAGCUCAUGGCAACGCCGGAUCGUUAACCCACUGAGCAAGGGCAGGGAUCAAACCCGCAACCUCAUGGUUCCUAGUAGGAUUCGUUAACCACUGCAUCAUGACGGGAACUCCCAGAAAUAUAAAUAUUUAGAAUAAUAUUUAAGAAUAUAUUUACAAAGCUUUUUCUAGAAACAUUUCUGUGGUAACCAAAAAAUAAAAUAAAAUAAAAUAAACAUCUUGGAAGUCCAUCAAUUAGAGAAUAGUUAAAUAAAUUGUAUCAGUCAUUCUAUGCAAUAUUAUAGGCUUAUGACAAGAUAACUUUGGGAAGAGAACUUUACCUUUGAUUUAAAGACAUAUUGAUGUUGGUCCAUAGAGCUCACAGUCAGUAAGAUGGAUGUAAAGGAAGGUCAAGAAUAGGCUGGAGCCCAUACACAUGAGGUGGAACUCCACGAGGAGGUCAGAAACACACACGAGCCCUUGUUUAACCUAACAGUGGCACUAUGGAUAUCCCACAGAAACUAGGAACAUUUUCACAAAGCCAAAUACAUAUAUCUUGACUAGUAUUCAGAGAAGUCGAAGAAGGAUACAGGGAAUGGUAGAAAGUUCCAAGACAAGCUGCUGAUUCAGGCCACCACAGAGAAUCUGUAAAUCAGCAGUGAUGGAUGUGAGCUAAAAAUAACUACUGUUUCUCUUUUGCCCUCCAAAUUUCCCAAGAAUCCUCCUUGUAACCCACGUAAAUGGAAACAUACAAAAAGGAAUUCUGAGAAAUUAUAAGUUAGUUUAGCCAUUUUGCCACAUUACAAAGCCACCACAAAAGUAUAUGGCAUUAGUUAAAAGCAUGGACUCUAGAGAGAAGUUAUCUGUUUUCAGAUCCCAUGACCAUCACUCUCUAAUUAUGUGAAUUAGGAAAGUGACGACUUUCUCUGCCUCAGUUUUCUCAACUGAAAAAUCAUGUUACUUUCCCAAAAUUAUGGUGAUGGAGCUAGUAUGUGUGAAAAGCUUAGAAGCACAGCUCAUACAACUGUUACAUAUUAUAAUUUAAAAUCACUUUCAGUAAAUAGGCUUCAAAUACUCUUUUAAAGUUUUCUCAGAAAAAAGUCUGAAUGACAUAGUUUUAAUCAACAUGAAACUUUCUCAUUAGUUUUUCCACUUUUGUUGCCUUUGAAAUAGGAGCUAUAAUAUUCUCAGCCAUAGGCUGGAAAACUAUGGCCCAUGAACCACCUAUAUCGUAGAGCCUAGUGGAUUUGACCCAUAUGUUAAAAUGGUUUUUAUGUAUAGUUGACUUUGAACAAUGCAGGUUUGAACUGCAUGGGUCUGCUUAUAUGUGGAUAUUUUUCAACAGUAAGUACUGUGGUAAUACAUGAUCCAUGGUUGGCUAAAUCUAUGGAUGCCAAGAAACUGCGGAUGUAGGGGGCCACCUGUAAGUUAAACUCAGAUUAACUCCCAUGUUGUCCAAGUAUCAACUGUAUUUAAAAUAUUGUUUUAAAAAAAGGAAAAAUAUGUUACAGACUCUAUAUGGCCCACAAAACCUAACAUAUUUACUAUCUGAUUCUUUACAGAAAAUGCCUGUCAGUUCAAGUUCUAAAAGCCCGUGUGAAUAGAAAUAGAAUGUGAGCCAUAACUAUGAGUCAUAUAUGCAUUUCUAAAUUUCCUGGUAGCCACUUUAAAAAGUAAAAAAGAGGAGUUGUGGUACAGUGGGUUAAGAAUUGACUGCAGUGGCUCAGGUCACUAUGGAGGUGUGAGUUCAAUCCCCAGCCUGAUGCAGUGGGGUAAAGGAUCCAGCAUUGCCACAGCUGUGGCAAAGGUCACAAGUGCAGUUCGGAUUCAGUCCCUGGCCCAGGAACUUCCAUAUGCUCUGAGUGCGGCCAUAAAAAAACAAAAAGCAAAGGUAAAAAAGAAAAAUUAAUUUUAAUCUGUGUUUAACCCAAUUUAUCCAAAAUAUUAUCAUUUCAGCAUGCAGUGAAAAAUUAGCAAUAUAUUUUACAUUCAUUUUUCAUAAUAAAUUUUCAAGUACAUUGUAUACUUUACAUACCAUUUCAAAUUCAGACUAGUCAAAUUUCAAGUGCUCAGUACCUGUCUGUGAUUUGUGACUGCCAUAUUAGACAGAAUAGUUUAAAAUCCAUGGUGGGGGAGGAAUUCCCACAUAAUUCAAGAAUAUUCAUAUAAAUAUAGAAAUGUAUAGCACUUAAAAGGAAAAAUUCAUAAUGUCUAGCAACCAAUCAAAAAUUACCAGAUAUGCAAGGAUAUAUGAUCCAUAAUGAGAAAAAAAAAUCUAGCCAAUCAAAACUGACUCAGAAAUUAAAGAUGUUAAGGAGCUCUUUUUGUGGCUCAGCGGUUAAUGAACCUGACUAGGAUCCAUGAGGAUGUGAGUUCAAUUCCUGGCCUCACUCAGUGGAUUAAGGAUCUGGCAUUGCUGUAAGCUGUAGUGUAGGUCACAGAUGUGGCCCAGAUCCUGUGUUGCUGUGGCUGUGACACAGGCUGGCAGCUGUAGCUCCAAUUCGACCCCUAGCCUGGGAACUUCCAUAUGCUGUGGGUGCAGCCCUAAAAAACAAAAACAAAAACAAAAAAAA